UGUUUCAGUCAAUCAAAUGUCUUUUUAAUUAACAUAAUUUUCUUUUUACAGGAAUUGAAGCUUGAAUAAUACUGGAGAAGGUAGUGGUGGUGGUGGUGGUGGUGGUGGUGGUGGCGAAUAAAGUGGACAUCUGUUAGACUUUCCUUUCUAAUGUUUUAAUCAAAUUUAACGAGCAACUACAGUAUCACGUGGAAUCACGUGUGACCGGUAGCAACGAGAAUAAGAAAGUUUUGUCCUGACAACUUGUUCGGGUCAUUCUGAUGAUGGUAAGUAUCUUAAUACAUUAUAAUGGAACAAUUAGAAGAAUCUCAGAAUAGAAUUCAACCCUUGUAUGGGCAACCCCACUUAUCCACUUCUAUACUUCUGUUAACAAUUUUUUAUAUUAUUGUAAAAAUACUGCAAAAUCACUGUGGAUCCCUAUUCUCCAAGGACAUUCUAACGUUGAUGUAUCUUUUUAAAGUAAAAAUUUGUGCAAAAGAUUUAGAUGUUAAAGCUUCAGCGUAUAACUGGUUGCCCGUUCAAGGGUUGAACACUUGAAUUGCCUCUUUACAUUUUGUUAUUGUGACUGUCCCAUGAAUUCUGAAGUUAAUCCUUUAUGAUAGGAAGCAGUGAAAUGAUCUGAUAAAUGAAGCGCCCGAAGGAAAUCAUCAGCACAAAAUCUGCAACCGGCGUUUAGGAUGCCACGCACUCGAUGUUCAACGCGUUCGAAUAGAAAUAUUCCGUACAACAAGUGUUACUUUGAUCGGUUUAAUCUACCAUACAAUCGUGUAUAUAUUAUGUAUAUGUAACGUGUCCUUUUUGUGUUCCUUUUUGCAAGCGCAAAGCGGACAGGAGGAUCGUGAGAUAUUCUUUCUCUCUUGGAAAGGAAAAGAAGGAAUCUUAGCUGAGUAGUUUGGCGUGGCCUAAAAUAAAAGAAGAACAAAAUUAAUUUGA